UACGUAGGGGGCAAGCGUUGUCCGGAAUUAUUGGGCGUAAAGAGCUCGUAGGCGGUUUGUCGCGUCUGCCGUGAAAGUCCGGGGCUCAACUCCGGAUCUGCGGUGGGUACGGGCAGACUAGAGUGAUGUAGGGGAGACUGGAAUUCCUGGUGUAGCGGUGAAAUGCGCAGAUAUCAGGAGGAACACCGAUGGCGAAGGCGGGUCUCUGGGCCGAUACUGACGCUGAGGAGCGAAAGCGUGGGGAGCAAACAGG
rnacentral:rRNA from 1 species